rnacentral:rRNA from 1 species
GAUGAACGCUGGCGGCGUGCCUAAUACAUGCAAGUCGAGCGAACGGACGAGAAGCUUGCUUUUCUGAUGUUAGCGGCGGACGGGUGAGUAACACGUGGAUAACCUACCUAUAAGACUGGGAUAACUUCGGGACACCGGAGCUAAUACCGGAUAAUAUUUUGAACCGCAUGGGUCAAAAGUGAAAGACGGUCUUGCUGUCACUUCUAGAUGGAUCCGCGCUGCAUUAGCUAGUUGGUAAGGUAACGGCUUACCAAGGCAACGAUGCAUAGCCGACCUGAGAGGGGGAUCGGCCACACUGGAACUGAGACACGGUCCAGACUCCUACGGGAGGCAGCAGUAGGGAAUCUUCCGCAAUGGGCGAAAGCCUGACGGAGCAACGCCGCGUGAGUGAUGAAGGUCUUCGGAUCGUAAAACUCUGUUAUUAGGGAAGAACAUAUGUGUAAGUAACUGUGCACAUCUUGACGGUACCUAAUCAGAAAGCCACGGCUAACUACGUG